rnacentral:rRNA from 1 species
UUGACUCUGGGAUAAGCCUGGGAAACUGGGUCUAAUACCGGAUAUGACUGAUCAUCGCAUGGUGGUUGGUGGAAAGCUUUUGUGGUUUUGGAUGGACUCGCGGCCUAUCAGCUUGUUGGUGGGGUAAUGGCCUACCAAGGCGACGACGGGUAGCCGGCCUGAGAGGGUGACCGGCCACACUGGGACUGAGACACGGCCCAGACUCCUACGGGAGGCAGCAGUGGGGAAUAUUGCACAAUGGGCGAAAGCCUGAUGCAGCGACGCCGCGUGAGGGAUGACGGCCUUCGGGUUGUAAACCUCUUUCAGUAGGGAAGAAGCGUAAGUGACGGUACCUGCAGAAGAAGCGCCGGCUAACUACGUGCCAGCAGCCGCGGUAAUACGUAGGGCGCAAGCGUUAUCCGGAAUUAUUGGGCGUAAAGAGCUCGUAGGCGGUUUGUCGCGUCUGCCGUGAAAGUCCGGGGCUCAACUCCGGAUCUGCGGUGGGUACGGGCAGACUAGAGUGAUGUAGGGGAGACUGGAAUUCCUGGUGUAGCGGUGAAAUGCGCAGAUAUCAGGAGGAACACCGAUGGCGAAGGCAGGUCUCUGGGCAUUAACUGACGCUGAGGAGCGAAAGCAUGGGGAGCGAACAGGAUUAGAUACCCUGGUAGUCCAUGCCGUAAACGUUGGGCACUAGGUGUGGGGGACAUUCCACGUUUUCCGCGCCGUAGCUAACGCAUUAAGUGCCCCGCCUGGGGAGUACGGCCGCAAGGCUAAAACUCAAAGGAAUUGACGGGGGCCCGCACAAGCGGCGGAGCAUGCGGAUUAAUUCGAUGCAACGCGAAGAACCUUACCAAGGCUUGACAUGAACCAGACCGGGCUGGAAACAGUCCUUCCCCUUUGGGGUUGGUUUACAGGUGGUGCAUGGUUGUCGUCAGCUCGUGUCGUGAGAUGUUGGGUUAAGUCCCGCAACGAGCGCAACCCUCGUUCCAUGUUGCCAGCGGGUAGUGCCGGGGACUCAUGGGAGACUGCCGGGGUCAACUCGGAGGAAGGUGGGGACGACGUCAAAUCAUCAUGCCCCUUAUGUCUUGGGCUUCACGCAUGCUACAAUGGCCGGUACAAAGGGUUGCGAUACUGUGAGGUGGAGCUAAUCCCAAAAAGCCGGUCUCAGUUCGGAUUGGGGUCUGCAACUCGACCCCAU